GCCCCAGUGGCUCAGCCGGUAGAGGUCAACGCCGAAAGCGACCGCCUCGUAAGCGGUAGAUCGUGGGUUCGAAUCCCACCUGGGGCUCCA
rnacentral:tRNA from 1 species